rnacentral:rRNA from 1 species
CCUACGGGUGGCAGCAGUGGGGAAUAUUGGACAAUGGGCGAAAGCCUGAUCCAGCCAUGCCGCGUGUGUGAAGAAGGCCUUCGGGUUGUAAAGCACUUUCAGUGGGGAAGAAAGCCUUGGGGCUAAUACCCUCGAGGAAGGACAUCACCCACAGAAGAAGCACCGGCUAACUCCGUGCCAGCAGCCGCGGUAAUACGGAGGGUGCGAGCGUUAAUCGGAAUUACUGGGCGUAAAGCGCGCGUAGGCGGUCUGAUAAGCCGGUUGUGAAAGCCCCGGGCUCAACCUGGGAACGGCAUCCGGAACUGUCAGGCUAGAGUGCAGGAGAGGAAGGUAGAAUUCCCGGUGUAGCGGUGAAAUGCGUAGAGAUCGGGAGGAAUACCAGUGGCGAAGGCGGCCUUCUGGACUGAAACUGACGCUGAGGUGCGAAAGCGUGGGUAGCAAACAGGAUUAGAUACCCGUGUAGUC